AUCGAUACUCCACGAUAAAUUUAACUUUAUUCAAAAAUUUAUAUACCGCCAUCUUAAGAAUUAAUUAAAAAAUAUUUCUCCAAAGAACAAUUAAAAAGUUAGGUCAAGGUGUAAUCAAUAUUAAAGAAUUAGAUGAAUUACAUUAAAUACUAUUUAAAGAUUUUAAAUAAAUUUAUUUACAUAAAUAAGGAUUUAAAAGUAAUAUUUUAAUAAUAAUACAAUAUGAAUUGAAUAACAAAUGUGUACACAUCGCCC
rnacentral:rRNA from 1 species